UACGAAGGGGCUAGCGUUGCUCGGAAUCACUGGGCGUAAAGGGUGCGUAGGCGGGUCUUUAAGUCAGGGGUGAAAUCCUGGAGCUCAACUCCCAGAACUGCCUUUGAUACUGAAGAUCUUGAGUUCGGGAGAGGUGAGUGGAACUGCGAGUGUAGAGGUGAAAUUCGUAGAUAUUCGCAAGAACACCAGUGGCGAAGGCGGCUCACUGGCCCGAUACUGACGCUGAUGCACGAAAGCGUGGGGAGCAAACAGG
rnacentral:rRNA from 1 species